UACGUAGGGUGCGAGCGUUGUCCGGAAUUACUGGGCGUAAAGAGCUCGUAGGUGGUUUGUCGUGUUGUUCGUGAAAACUCACAGCUUAACUGUGGGCGUGCGGGCGAUACGGGCAGACUGGAGUACUGCAGGGGAGACUGGAAUUCCUGGUGUAGCGGUGGAAUGCGCAGAUAUCAGGAGGAACACCGGUGGCGAAGGCGGGUCUCUGGGCAGUAACUGACGCUGAGGAGCGAAAGCGUGGGGAGCGAACAGG
rnacentral:rRNA from 1 species